GACGAACGCUGGCGGCGCGCCUAACACAUGCAAGUCGAACGAGAGAUGAAGAGCUUGCUCUUCAAAUCGAGUGGCGAACGGGUGAGUAACGCGUGAGGAACCUGCCUCAAAGAGGGGGACAACAGUUGGAAACGACUGCUAAUACCGCAUAAGCCCACGGCUCGGCAUCGAGCAGAGGGAAAAGGAGCAAUCCGCUUUGAGAUGGCCUCGCGUCCGAUUAGCUAGUUGGUGAGGUAACGGCCCACCAAGGCGACGAUCGGUAGCCGGACUGAGAGGUUGAACGGCCACAUUGGGACUGAGACACGGCCCAGACUCCUACGGGAGGCAGCAGUGGGGAAUAUUGCACAAUGGGGGGAACCCUGAUGCAGCGACGCCGCGUGGAGGAAGAAGGUCUUCGGAUUGUAAACUCCUGUUGUUGAGGAAGAUAAUGACGGUACUCAACAAGGAAGUGACGGCUAACUACGUG
rnacentral:rRNA from 1 species